GUGUUGCUUCGGCAACACAUAUGCUAAAACUGAACGGUACGGAGGAGAUUAGCAUGGUCCCUGCGCAAGGAUGACACGCAAAAUCGUGAAGCGUUCCAUAUAUAA